UACGUAGGGGGCAAGCGUUGUCCGGAAUCAUUGGGCGUAAAGAGCGCGUAGGCGGUCCGGUAAGUCAGCUGUGAAAGUCAAGGGCUCAACCCUUGAAAGCCGGUUGAUACUGUCGGGCUAGAGUCCGGAAGAGGCGAGUGGAAUUCCCGGUGUAGCGGUGAAAUGCGCAGAUAUCGGGAGGAGCACCAAUGGCGAAGGCGGCUCGCUGGGCCAUUCCUGACGCUGAGACGCGAAAGCUAGGGGAGCGAACAGG
rnacentral:rRNA from 1 species